UACGUAGGGAGCAAGCGUUGUCCGGAAUCAUUGGGCGUAAAGCGCGCGUAGGUGGCUUCAUAAGUCCGUUGUGAAAGUCAAAGGCUCAACCUUUGAAAGCCGAUGGAUACUGUGAAGCUAGAGUACGGAAGAGGCGAGUGGAAUUCCUGGUGUAGCGGUGGAAUGCGCAGAUAUCAGGAGGAACGCCAAUAGCGAAGGCAGCUCGCUGGGACGUUACUGACACUGAGGCGCGAAAGCGUGGGGAGCGAACAGG
rnacentral:rRNA from 1 species